UACGUAGGUGGCAAGCGUUGUCCGGAUUUACUGGGCGUAAAGAGCGCGCAGGCGGUCGUUCAAGUCGCGUGUGAAAGCCCCCGGCUCAACUGGGGAGGGUCACGCGAUACUGAUCGACUCGAAGGCAGGAGAGGGUAGUGGAAUUCCCGGUGUAGUGGUGAAAUGCGUAGAUAUCGGGAGGAACACCAGUGGCGAAGGCAGCUCGCUGGAACGUAACUGACGCUGAGACGCGAAAGCGUGGGGAGCAAACAGGG
rnacentral:rRNA from 1 species